rnacentral:misc_RNA from 1 species
GAUGAGAACGCAGCAAAAUGCGAUAAGUAAUGUGAAUUGCAGAAUUCAGUGAAUCAUCGAAUCUUUGAACGCACAUUGCGCCCGCCAGUAUUCUGGCGGGCAUGCCUGUUCGAGCGUCAUUUCAACCCUCAAGACCCCUUCGGGGGACUUGGUGUUGGGGACCGGCACAGGGGCCUGCCUGCUUGUCUUGCAGCGCCCUCGCCGCCCCCGAAAUGAAUUGGCGGCCUCGUCGCGGCCUCCCCUGCGUAGUAGCACAACCUCGCAACGGGAACGUGACGGCGGCCACUGCCGUAAAACAACCCCAAUUUUAUUAGAGUUGACCUCGAAUCAGGUAGGAAUACCCGCUGAACUUAAGCAUAUCAAUAAGCGGAGGA